CUUAUGAAGAGUUUGAUCCUGGCUCAGAGCGAACGCUGGCGGCACGCUUAACACAUGCAAGUCGAGCGAGAAAGUGACUUCGGUCGCGAGUAAAGCGGCGAACGGGUGAGUACAACGUGGAUAAUCUACCCUAGGGUCCGGGACAACCCCGAGAAAUCGGAGCUAAUACCGGAUAAGACCACAGUAUCCAAGGAUACAGAGGUAAAAGAUUUAUCGCCUUUGGAUGAGUCCACGCCCCAUCAGGUAGUUGGUAAGGUAAAAGCUUACCAAGCCUAAGACGGGUAGCCGGCCUUAGCGGGUGAACGGCCACAUGGGGACUGAGACACGGCCCUGACUCCUACGGGAGGCAGCAGUGGGGAAUAUUGGGCAAUGGGCGAAAGC
rnacentral:rRNA from 1 species